AUUGAACGCUGGCGGCAUGCCUAACACAUGCAAGUCGAACGGGGCAGCAAUGCCUAGUGGCGGACGGGUGAGGAAUACGUAGGAAUCUGCCCUUAAGUGGGGGAUAACCAGGGGAAACCCUGACUAAUACCGCAUGAUCUCUUCGGAGCAACGAGGGGGACCGCAAGGCCUCUCGCCUCUGGACGAGCCUACGUCGGAUUAGCUAGUUGGUAGGGUAAAGGCCUACCAAGGCGACGAUCAGUAACUGGUCUGAGAGGAUGAUCAGUCACACCGGAACUGAGACACGGUCCGGACUCCUACGGGAGGCAGCAGUGGGGAAUAUUGGACAAUGGGCGCAAGCCUGAUCCAGCAAUGCCGCGUGUGUGAAGAAGGCCUUCGGGUUGUAAAGCACUUUAGCCUGGAAAGAAAAAACUUUGGUUAACACCCAAAGUCUUGACGGUACCAGGAGAAUAAGCACCGGCUAACUCUGUGCCAGCCGCCGCGGUAAUAC
rnacentral:rRNA from 1 species